rnacentral:rRNA from 1 species
GACGUAGGUGGCAAGCGUUAUCCGGAAUUAUUGGGCGUAAAGCGCGCGCAGGCGGUCCUUUAAGUCUGAUGUGAAAGCCCACGGCUCAACCGUGGAGGGUCAUUGGAAACUGGGGGACUUGAGUGCAGAAGAGGAGAGCGGAAUUCCACGUGUAGCGGUGAAAUGCGUAGAGAUGUGGAGGAACACCAGUGGCGAAGGCGGCUCUCUGGUCUGUAACUGACGCUGAGGCGCGAAAGCGUGGGGAGCGAACAGG